UUGGAUUUAAACCCCAAAUAUAAAGCUUUAACUUUUUUUAGAA
rnacentral:tRNA from 1 species